UAUGAUUGCAUAUAUACUUGCAUCUUUGCAUUUAAAAGUAAAAAUGGGAUUUUUCCUUCCUUAAUUAUUAACUAAACCAAGUUUAAAUCAGUGCAGUACAGAGAGAUUUCAGGUGCAGGGUUGGGAAAUACUGCAUCCCUAAAAACCACAGAUGACUGGUUCUAUUGUAAAACUGUUGUGUGCUUCACUGUCCUGAAUUUGAAUUGUGACUUUAUUUACAGGCAAUAAAUCCUCAGACACAGUUUGUAAAGCGUGUCCAUCAGGAUUUUAUUCCCCUAAAGGUGUGAGAUGCUUUAAAUGGAAUGACUGUUCACUCAAUAAUGAGAUUGUGGAUGAAGAAGGCACUUCUAUUACAGAUGUUAAAUGCAAACGAUUAAGGAAGAGAUUUGGUCUUAUAGCAGCUUUUCUCAUAAGUGCAGUUCCUUUACUGUUAUUAUCUUCAUAUUGGAUGCACAGAGGAGACACAAAUAGAGAAUUAGA